GGGGGGAUACACAUCACAGUAAGAGAUUUUUCAAAAGAAACUCUAAACAUAACAGCAAACACAGCAAUAAACGCAGCAAAGUUAUUUUUCUUCAAAACCCAAAAUCAAGAACAACAUAAACACAACAAAGUUAUUUUUCUUCAAAACCCAAAAUCAAGAACAACCUAAACACAAACAGAGUUUUCUUUCAAAAACCAUAAAGAACACAACAGUAAGAAAUUUCUCAAAAACCCUAAAAACUUACGGAAAAGCAAAAGGAAGGUAGUUC
rnacentral:lncRNA from 1 species